rnacentral:piRNA from 1 species
UAUCUGAGAGCUGACACACCCAACAAUGC